CCAAAGGCUCUUUUCAGAGCCACCCACAUUAUCUCUCAAAAGAUCU
rfam:Cavia porcellus supercont2_38 genomic scaffold, whole genome shotgun sequence.